GACGAACGCUGGCGGCGUGCUUAACACAUGCAAGUCGAGCGGUAAGGCCCUUUCGGGGGUACACGAGCGGCGAACGGGUGAGUAACACGUGGGUGACCUGCCCUCAGCUCUGGGAUAAGCCUGGGAAACCGGGUCUAAUACUGGAUAUGACUCCAUGACGCAUGUUGUGGGGUGGAAAGCCUUGUGCGGCUGAGGAUGGGCCCGCGGCCUAUCAGCUUGUUGGUGGGGUGANGGCCUACCAAGGCGACGACGGGUAGCCGGCCUGAGAGGGCGACCGGCCACACUGGGACUGAGACACGGCCCAGACUCCUACGGGAGGCAGCAGUGAGGAAUAUUGCGCAAUGGGCGAAAGCCUGACGCAGCGACGCCGCGUGGGGAUGAAGGUCUUCGGAUUGUAAACCCCUUCGGGAGGGAAGAUGGGACGAGCAAUCGUUCGGACGGUACCUCCAGAAGCAGCCACGGCUAACUUCGUGCCAGCA
rnacentral:rRNA from 1 species